rnacentral:lncRNA from 1 species
AUGUCAAAUGUAAUAAACCCAACGCAGGAUGAUCGCAAACUCCUGAGCUCGAGCAGUCCUUCCACUUCAGCCUCACAAAAUUCUGGGAUUAUAGGCGUGAGCAACUGUACCAGGAUGGUGAGUAAAAAAUCUGAGAAGACUGAUAAUAGAAAGAAGAAACCUGAAGCAGAGAAGGCUAAAGCCAUUGGUAAGGUUAAAAAUGUUAACCUGAAGGCUGAACAGCCCAAGAAGAGGAAGCCUCACUGCAGAUAA